rnacentral:rRNA from 1 species
UACGUAGGCAGCAAGCGUUGUUCGGAAUUACUGGGCGUAAAGAGUGUGUAGGCGGUGCUCUAAGUCUGUUGUGAAAUCUCCCGGCUUAACCGGGAGGGUGCGGCAGAAACUGGAGUGCUUGAGGGUGGGAGAGGUAAGCGGAAUUCCUGGUGUAGCGGUGAAAUGCGUAGAUAUCAGGAGGAACACCUGUGGUGUAGACAGCUUACUGGACCACUUCUGACGCUGAGACACGAAAGCGUGGGUAGCAAACAGG